UCGUUAACCCUACGGUUACGGAACUUUGAAAAAUAUCAAUCGAUUUGCCAUUGAUAUGUGAAGAAUGUGAUUUGUGUUUAUGAUGUUUCUGUAAUUUUCGUUUGUGCUGCAGAUGUUUGUGCUCUAUCGAACAAUCAGAGUGGCGGUGAGGAGAGGGGGAGUGGGGGUUGGUAUGAUUCUUCGGCGUGAUCAAAAGAACAAAGAGUUUUUGGCGUAACGAGGACACACGUCACCGCUGGAUUCACGACAGUAAAUCAAGUAACGAAUGAACGAGGGCCAAGUUUUGGGGGAGAGGAAUGAGGGCUUGACAAUGUCGGGAGUAUUCGGUAGAGUGAAACGGUGAGUUUCGUCGUCACGCUCCAAUUGGCUGAUCAUCGAAAGUGAAUGAGUCUGUUUGCAGGUGCAUACGAGUCAUACCGGUGUUGGAGUUAGAGUCCUGGUAUCCCGUGGAGAGGGGGAGAGACAUCACGGCUUAAAGAUGAAAUCGGGACAUUGGUAAGUUGAGAACUCAGGGGAUGGGGUGGCUCGUGCUGGAGGAUGACCUCUGACCGUGAAGAGAGUGAAGCAAUGAGGAUGCCAUGGGCCGGGCACGCGAGGUCCGAAGACCCCUGGGUAACAUCUCUUGGUCUUGUGGCCUCAGGCACGCGCUCCUCCACCACUUCUCUCUCUUUCCCUCGUCCAGCAUUUCUCUCGAUCUCUCUUUUUUCCCCUCCUCCCCCUCAUGCCCUCAGCGGUACCACGGAAUGGAUAAUUCCAUGCGAUUGGCUGGUGUGUCGUGCCAAUGCAGCUCGUGCAAAGUGGCUCGGGCUCUACUUCGAAUUGGUGUAAUGCAACAAAACGCAAUCUUAUGUACGUGUAAUACCCAUAUUCAGAAAAUGGUGGAUACACCAGGAUGAUGUCUCGCAAAAUGGACGUACAACGAUACAUGCUCUCAACAGUUCUUCGCUCGUUGGUUUUAUUGUUGCACAUCUUCGUGAUGAUGAAGGGAAAAAAGAAAAUUAAUUCACCGGUGGAUGACCCAGGAGAUUGAGGGUAGAAGGAGAAAAGGGCUUUGGCGAUUAAACUAUUCGUCGGUGUGUAAGGGAUAUACGGCCCGUCGGGGGAAAGAGGAAGAGGAUUCAGCGGAACGAUCAAAUUAAAAUUCGACCAUUGGGAUCCCCCCCGAAUUAUGGGAAUUACUCCUCGAUAUAACCCUGUCAUUAAAAUUUUUGCUUUGAUUAAUUUGUCCGGGUGUUAUUUAACCGCGCGUAAUUCAAACGUGCGGUAAGUCUUUCGGGUGAAUUUUAGAACAAUUUUGGAGUGAUAAAUUGUUUCAGUUGAGCCGGUGGAUAUAAAAAGAAUUUUGUGAUGACGCACAUGCAAUUUUUGGAGUUUAAAUUGUUUAGAUGAA